rnacentral:rRNA from 1 species
AAACUUUCCACAACGGAACCCUUGGUUCCGGGAUCCAUGAAAAACCCCACCAAAUGGCAUAAAUAAUGGGAAUUGGCAAAUUCCAUGAAUCCUCCAAUCCUUGAACGCACAUUGCGCCCUUUGGUAUUCCCAAAGGCAUGCCUGUUCCAGCGUCCUUU